rnacentral:rRNA from 1 species
CUGGGUUUGACAUAUGGAGAAAUCUCCCAGAGAUGGGAGGUCCGCAAGGGCUCUAUACAGGUGGUGCAUGGCUGUCGUCAGCUCGUGUCGUGAGAUGUUGGGUUAAGUCCCGCAACGAGCGCAACCCUCGUCUUAUGUUGCCAGCGGGUAAUGCCGGGGACUCGUAGGAGACUGCCGGGGUCAACUCGGAGGAAGGUGGGGACGACGUCAAGUCAUCAUGCCCCUUACGUCCAGGGCUGCAAACAUGCUACAAUGGCCGAUACAAAGGGCUGCUAUUCCGCGAGGAUGAGCGAAUCCCAAAAAGUCGGUCUCAGUUCGGAUUGGAGUCUGCAACUCGACUCCAUGAAGUCGGAGUCGCUAGUAAUCCCGGAUCAGCAACGCCGGGGUGAAUACGUUCCCG